GACGAACGCUGGCGGCGUGCCUAAUACAUGCAAGUCGAACGAACCGCGACUAGGUGCUUGCACUUGGUCAAGGUGAGUGGCGAACGGGUGAGUAACACGUGAGUAACCUACCUCAUAGUGGGGGAUAACAGUCGGAAACGACUGCUAAUACCGCAUAGGACAUGGGAUCACAUGAUUCUGUGAGGAAAGGUGGCGCAAGCUAUCGCUAAGAGAAGGACCCGCGGUGCAUUAGCUAGUUGGUAGGGUAACGGCCUACCAAGGCGAUGAUGCAUAGCCGACCUGAGAGGGUGAUCGGCCACAUUGGGACUGAGACACGGCCCAAACUCCUACGGGAGGCAGCAGUAGGGAAUCUUCCGCAAUGGACGCAAGUCUGACGGAGCAACGCCGCGUGAGUGAAGAAGGUCUUCGGAUCGUAAAGCUCUGUUGUUAGAGAAGAACAGCGCAUAGAGUAACUGUUAUGCGUGUGACGGUAUCUAACCAGAAAGCCACGGCUAACUACGUG
rnacentral:rRNA from 1 species